GCAAAAUCAGAAAAGGCAAUUCCCUGUUUUGAAGCCCACUCUUCCAGGGCAGGUUGUGACGCCACCACGAGGGCCACACAGUAACUGUGAAAUGGGUCAGCAUGCAGCAUCAUGUUGUCAACAUAUGGGCUCACGGUAAGAACAGCCUCAACCUUUCCUAAAGACACAUAUUCACCAUGUUGAAGUUUGACUAUGUCCUUUUUACGGUCAACUAUCUCAAGGCAACCAUCAGCAUGAAACUGCCCAAUGUCACCUGUGUAGAACCACCUCAUUCCUCUCUCAUCAACCUUGUACACUUCCUUCGUUUUCUCUUCAUUCUUGAAAUAGCCAACUGUUACAUUAGGACCGCCAAUAACUAUUUCUCCACGUCACGAGGCAUUGGUGAAUCACUAGUUAAAUAUCCACCUUCAGGCCAAUCUACUAACUUAAUAAAUGAGGAAGGGACUGGAUUACCAACUCGACCAACAGAUGUAUCAUCAAACUCAGAAAAGGUCGCACCAGCACAAGUUUCAGUAAGACCAUAGCCUUGGCCUAUUGGAGCCCCAAGGCAAAUGUUGAUAAAUCUUUGAGUAUCACCAGAAAGAGGAGCACCUCCAGAAAGCAAAAAACGAAUACGACCCCCUAAAACUGCUCGAACCUUCCUAAACACAAGGAAGUUCCAAAGUAGCAUUUCUAAGCCCCAAGCUNNNCCAAACCAACUACCAUUCAAUGCAGAUAAUCGACGGGCAUAUGCCAAGUCAAACAGUUUCUUACUUAGGCCACCCUUUGCAUCCACCUUCUUGCGCACUCCAUCUCGAACACGAUCAAGAAUUGCUGGGACGGCUGCCAUCACAGUUGGCCUCAAGACAGAGGCAUCCCCCUUUGUUCCCCUUUUGAUCUUGUUUGAUGUAUCAGUAAGUGUCAAAGGGGAUCCAUAUCCUAUAGCACUUCCAACACCUGCAACUAUAUUCUCAGCAGCUAAUUCAAGGAUAUGAGCCAAUGGUAGGUAUGCUAGAUAAACAUCCUUGCUCUCAA
rnacentral:misc_RNA from 1 species